rnacentral:tRNA from 1 species
GGGGGCGUAGCUUAAUUGGUAGAGCAUCUGUUUUGCAUACAUAAGGUUACCAGUUCAAGUCUGGUCGUCUCCA